UGAUCUGUAUGUAGAUUUUUCUAAAAUCACAAUAAUGGAACUCCCACUUUUGUCUGUCUAUGAAAAAUCCCAAUAAUAAAUUCAUGCCAUAAUUUCUAAAUUUACAGUAUAUUAUUAGUUAUAUCUAUCCCUUCAUCUAAGUUUGACCUACUCUGUUCAACAGAAAUGAUAUGUCAUUUUGAUUAACUAUUCCUCCAUGAUGUAAUUUUAUUGUGUGGUUUCUCUCAUUUUAAUUUUUUAAGUACCAUAAAUAUUAAUUAUUCUUAGAUUAUCAUAUUUUCUAAGUUUCAUACAAUACAAAAUAAUAUAUAUAUCAUAAAUUGG
rnacentral:lncRNA from 1 species